rnacentral:rRNA from 1 species
AGAGUUUGAUCAUGGCUCAGGGUGAAUGCUGGCGGUAUGGAUAGGGCAUGCAAGUCGAGUGGGUUUAGACCCACGGCAGACGAGGUAGUAACACGUAGGAACGUACCCAGAAGUCGGGCAUAACCCGCCGAAAGGCGGAAUAAUUCCCGAUGGUCUCGCGAGAGUAAAGAUUUAUCGCUUCUGGAGCGGCCUGCGUUGUAUCAGCUUGUUGGUGAGGUAAUGGCUCACCAAGGCUAUGACGCAUAGGGGAGCUGAGAGGCUGACCCCCACCGAUGGAACUGAGACACGGUCCAUACUCCUACGGGAGGCUGCAGUCGAGAAUCUUUGGCAAUGGGCGAAAGCCUGACCGAGUGAUACCGCGUGGUGGAUGAAGUCCUUCGGGACGUAAACACCUUUUAUGAGGGAGGAAAUUUUGACGUUACCUCAUGAAUAAGGGGCUCCUAACUCUGUGCCAGCAGGAGCGGUAAUACAGAGGCCCCAAGCAUUACCCGGAAUUAUUGGGCGUAAAGGGUGCGUAGGUUGUCAUAUUAGUCGUUCGUUAAAACCCGAGGCUCAGCCUCGGAACCGCGAGCGAAACGGUAUGACUAGAGGGAGUGAGAGGUGAAUGGAACUCAUGGUGUAGGGGUGAAAUCCGUUGAUAUCAUGGGGAACACCGAAAGCGAAGGCAAUUCACUGGCACUUUCCUGACACUGAAGCACGAAAGCGUGGGUAGCGAACGGGAUUAGAUACCCCGGUAGUCCACGCCCUAAACGAU